rnacentral:lncRNA from 1 species
ACCACUGACUACCCAGACUAUGGUGGUGGUGCUAGUGGUGCACUUGGCGGUUUUGGUGAUCAAUGGUCUGCUCAAAUCCCUGAUGCUCAAUGGGCUCCCGACAUGCCACCACCCAUUGCCGCUGCACCUGUAGCUGGAAACGGGUGGACUGCUGAUGGUAAGAGAGCAGCAGCUUUUCUUUUUCUUUGCCAAAAAUUUCAAUAUUUUUUUUUUUGGCUUGGUUGAGUCUUGUUGUCAUGUGUAAAAGACAUAAAUGCCCUUGUGAUUGAUAUUCUAAUUUUGAUUUUUGUGUUGUUGGUUUCAGCUCCGGUUGCUGGUGGUGAGGGGUGGGAAUCUGUGGCGGCACCUGUAGUGGCUCCGGUUGAAAGUGUUGCUGCAUCUGGCUGGGAAUGAAAUUUGUCGUGUUUUGAAAUUCAUAUUGUAGGUUAUGGUAUUUGUUGAGGAACUUUUGAUGAAAUAGGUUAAUCAUCUUCUGGAUUUUGGUUUAUCCAUC